rnacentral:rRNA from 1 species
UCGUCCGCCCUGGGUUAGUCGGGACCUAAGCUGAGGCCGAAAGGCGUAGGUGAUGGACAACAGGUUGAUAUUCCUGUACUACCGAUAACCGUUUGAGAGAAGGGAUGACACAGUAGGAUAAGCUAAGCACACUGUUGGUUAUGUGUGCCCAAGCAUUGAGGCAGUCAAAGUAGGCAAAUCCGCUUUGAUAAUGCUGGGAUGUGAUGGGGAGCGAAAUUUAGUAGCGAAGUAGCUGAUUUCACACUGUCAAGAAAAGUCUCUAUCGAGGUUAAAGGUACCCGUACCGCAAACCGACACAGGUGGGUGAGGAGAGUAUCCUAAGGCCAGCGAGAGAACUGUUGUUAAGGAACUCGGCAAAAUGACCCCGUAACUUAGGGAUAAGGGGUGCCACCAUCAGGUGGCCGCAGAGAAUAGGCCCAAGCGACUGUUUACCAAAAACAUAGGUUUCUGCUAAGUCGCAAGACGAUGUAUAGGAGCUGACGCCUGCCCGGUGCUGGAAGGUUAAGGGGAUCUGUUAGAGCAAUCGAAGCAGUGAACUUAAGCCCCAGUAAACGGCGGCCGUAACUAUAACGGUCCUAAGGUAGCGAAAUUCCUUGUCGGGUAAGUUCCGACCCGCACGAAAGGCGUAACGAUUUGGGCACUGUCUCAACAACAGACUCGGUGAAAUUGUAAUUCCGGUGAAGAUGCCGGAUACCUGCGACAGGACGGAAAGACCCCAUGGAGCUUUACUGUAGCUUGACAUUGGGUCUUGGUACUACAUGUACAGGAUAGGUGGGAGGCUUUGAAACCAGGACGCCAGUUUUGGCGGAGCCAUCCUUGGGAUACCACCCUUGUAGUACUGGG